rnacentral:lncRNA from 1 species
GAGGAAGGACAGGCCAUUACGGCCAGGCCUGGGCGGACGUCAGCCAGGCUGUGAAUCCAGAGCCAGCCUCUCCACUGCCCCGGCCCCAGGCCAGACCCCGCCAGCGCACCCCCAAGGGCAGC